AAUGGCUCAUUCCCUAGGUUGUCGCACACCCCUAAGCUCCGCGUGGCGUGGUUCUGAGUUUCGAACCACCGUGAAUGGCUCGUGCCCUUUUGUUGUCGUGGCCUGCAAGUGGCUUCCUCAUCCUUCAUCUCAGGCUCAGAUUUCAAAUGCAUGUUCUCUUUGAGGAACUACAAAGAUGGUUUCUGAUGUUUAUGUUGGUGGAGACACAAGUUUCAGAGUCAAUAGCAAGAUGUACACCAAAUUGGAUUCUUGUUUGGUGAUACCACCUACCCCAAAUCGUGCCAAGCCUCGAGCUAUAGUCAAAUUCCUGGGUGGUGCCUUCAUUGGUGUUGUUCCUAAAGUUAACUAUGGGUAUUUUUUUUUCUGUUACCCUUUCGUUUUUUCCAUGCAAAGUUUGAAUCUUUAUCAUUAAUAGAUGUUUUUUUUCCCAUGUUGGUAAUGUUUGUUGGAGGUGGGGUCAACCCUGACAUCUAGGUUGCCUCAAGCCAAUUUGUCACCUGCUCAGUUUGAAGACCUUCCUCUUUUCUCUAUUGGUCAUAGCAAUGGGGCACUUCUUCAAGUACUCGUAGGAAGCUUAUUUUUUGAGAAAAUACCUAAGCAAUUCAAGGAGUGUGAAGAAAAGGUAUAUAUCUCUUGUGGAAGGCUAAUGCCAUAAUCGCUUACAACAACAGGCCAGCAACGGAGGCAGUCCCUUACUUUGAACAG